GGUUCCUUCAGUAAUGACCAUUUUUUCUUUUUCAAGAUGAUGAUUAUUCCCCACCUUCUAAGAGACAAAGACCAACGAGCCACCACAGCCACCGGUCCCAGAACCCGCCAAUGCUGGGGAACGGAAAAUGAGGGAGUUCAACUCUGGCCCUCACAAUCCAGUGGAGGAGACGAAACUCAGCUGCCUCUGUCCCUCUGGGCACGCCUCAUGCCAGGUGCAUCUGUGGACAGGGGCCAUGCUCCUGGGCUUCCAAAGUUGGAGAAAGCUGCCAGGCUCAGGUCUGAAGGCCAGAAUUCUACAGUAAGUCCUACUCAGUCAAGGUGGGAGCAGGGUCAGUGGCUUCCGAGGCUCUGCGGGAGAAUCCGUUUCCUGGCCGUGGAGGUGGCCUGCACUCCUCAGCUUGUGCUGCCCGUCUCGAAUGACUGGAGUUUCCUGCUUCUGUCACUACACCUCCCACCCUCUCCAUCACCUGCUCUGCUCUUAUAAGGAUCCGAGU
rnacentral:lncRNA from 10 species